CCCCUCCCUCUCCCUCUCCCCCUCUCUCCUGUAAUAAAUAUUUUAGCUUUACGCCUAUCCGCUGCCUGCUUGUUGGGAAACCACAGCUGCCAGUGCCUCUGCGUGGCUCCGCCAGUGAGAGCAGCAGCUGGGCCCUUCCCGGACCUGCCCGGGACUCGCCUCAUUCCUGCCCGCCUGUUGUGUGUCUGCCACUUGCCACUAGGACGCUCCGGGGUUCCGAGGGGACCUGCUAGCGGUUCGUCCCCAUGAGCCCGCCAGGGACCUGCCAUCAUUUCUGAAUAAAAACAGCAGGAUCUUUGAGAGUUUAUUGCCCCACUUUGCCUAAACAGAAUAAAGUCAGUCUCACAAGUUCUCUUUCUACUGAAAAAUCUCAGAAACUUUCUCAGACAUGGGUCUGGCAGCUGAAGAGAAAUUCUACCCUGGGACCUCUGCCCCCAAGGAAGUAAUUGAAAUCACCAUAGCCUGGGGUGACCAUCUAGAUAAUGGAGAUUGUAAUUUUGGUAUAAGAUGCCCUCUCUCGGCUGUAGAUUUUCAUCUAUAACACACAGGUGAGAUGAUCCUUCAGGGUUCCUGUUUCAUGAAAGAGUCUGGGAGGCAUUCUACAGGACA